GAUGAACGCUGGCGGCGUGCUUAACACAUGCAAGUCGAACGAUGAACCGGGUGCUUGCACUCGGGGAUUAGUGGCGAACGGGUGAGUAACACGUGAGCAACCUGCCCCUGACUCUGGGAUAAGUGCUGGAAACGGCGUCUAAUACUGGAUAUGUCCCGUCACCGCAUGGUGUGCGGGUGGAAAGAUUUUUCGGUUGGGGAUGGGCUCGCGGCCUAUCAGCUUGUUGGUGAGGUAAUGGCUCACCAAGGCGUCGACGGGUAGCCGGCCUGAGAGGGUGACCGGCCACACUGGGACUGAGACACGGCCCAGACUCCUACGGGAGGCAGCAGUGGGGAAUAUUGCACAAUGGGCGGAAGCCUGAUGCAGCAACGCCGCGUGAGGGAUGACGGCCUUCGGGUUGCAAACCUCUUUUAGCAGGGAAGAAGCGAGAGUGACGGUACCUGCAGAAAAAGCACCGGCUAACUACGUGCCAGCCGCCGCGGUAA
rnacentral:rRNA from 1 species